rnacentral:rRNA from 1 species
UACGUAGGGUGCAAGCGUUGUCCGGAAUUAUUGGGCGUAAAGGGCGCGUAGGCGGCUUGAUAAGGUUGCGGUGAAAGCCCGGGGCUCAACCCCGGGUCGGCCGUGGCAACUGUCGAGCUGGAGCACUGUAGAGGCAGGUGGAAUUCCGGGUGUAGCGGUGGAAUGCGUAGAGAUCCGGAAGAACACCGGUGGCGAAGGCGGCCUGCUGGGCAGUGGCUGACGCUGAGGCGCGACAGCGUGGGGAGCAAACAGG